rnacentral:tRNA from 1 species
GAAACUAUGGGAAAUGAUAUUUAACGGACUACGAAUCCGUAGGUCGCAGGUUCGAAUCCUGCUGGGCGCG